rnacentral:lncRNA from 1 species
GUACAUGUUUAUUGAUUUCUGUAUGACCCUGGUAAUAAGCUCACUAAAUUAAUGCCACCUAAAUUGUUCCUUGGUUUACUAACAAAGAAUAACCAUAUUUUUAUGGUCCAAAUGCCAGGUUUACAUAAGAGGCUCAUCAAGAAGGAGAGGAAAAAAUGGUUGCAACUAAAGUGAUUUUCCCCUUCCACUUAGUCCUCCGUUCAUAGGGCCCAAUAGCUUCCUAUCAAGCAUCUCAAAAUCUUUCUGACACCUGGAUUUCAAGAUUUUCCAUUACUUAAUGCAUCCUCCUGAAAGUAUCCCCACACUUUUCCACUACCCAUUAGCGGGAUGCCAUUCAGUAAUAGAAGCUACAUUCCUUGAGAGCAAGAACCUCAUCUGUAUCUCUGUGCCUGAAGGAGCCUGGCACAUAGUAUUUAAUAAGUACUCAAUAAAAAUCUGCUUUAUGAAAAUAGCCUUAUUUGUUCACUACCUAUCUUACUAGUUCCUGAGAUAUUUGAAAAGUUCUCUCUCCUUUUGGAGUGUCAGCAUAAUUCUGGGAUGCUGAGAUCCUGUAGAGUUAUAGCCUUGGUUUGGUUCAGUUACUUUUCAAAGUUCCAGCUAAAUCCUAAGGCAUUCACAAGGGUGAGGUGCAGGUGUCUGAAUAUUUGGGCAUUAAUAAGCCAGAUAGCACUAUUCUGUGGCUUUCCAAGGUCAAUUAAAUUCUUUCCCCCAGUGAGAAAGAACAUCAGCCCUAGAACUCAGCUUUAGUUCUAGCUUCAAACCAAUUGGCUUUGGACACUUCUUAAUUUUACAGCUCCUGGUUUUUCUAACCACUCUUAGGGCUCUAAAAACCAUUUACUGUUUUUUUAGAGAAAUCAACUAACCAUUCUAUGUCCUAGCAUUAUAUUUUUCAAAAAUUUCCCCAGUAGAAGUAAAAGCAAUUUUACCAGUAACCUUUACUAAUUUUUCUGAAAUUGAGAUGCCUCCCUAGACCUAAAAAGAGUUAUUUCUAAAUUUAGAGUCAGCUACUAGUAGUCUCUGUCUUUAUUCAGAGUGAUCAUAGUUCAUUGUAGACCAGCAAAAAAAAAAAACUAAAAAAACAAAAUCUAACUUUUUUUAACAAGAUUACAUUUUGGGGCUUCGUCUCUACCCAGCAGAGGAAAACAGGGUGGGAGAUAAAACAUUCCAUCUAAGCAAUUUCUCAAGCCUUACAGCCUCUUACUUCUGCCCAGCAGAUCUUAAGUAACAAAAUAAAUACACUUUGUAUGAGUAAAGAGUGGAACAUUUGGGGAGGUAAGUCAAAGAGAUAGCUUCCAAGUCACUUGUAAUAAAUAUAUCUGGAACGAAAAACCAUUUUCUUCACAAGUUAGAUUUGUAAUUACCAAAUUAGACAUUGCUUGGUGCUAAAGAGCUGGAUGCUGAGAGAUUGCCCCUCUCCUCCCAUUGCACUGAGCCUUAACCUCCUGAAUUCCUGUUGAGCACUUGUAGGUAUCUGGGGUCGCUUUGCUCAGCUUUCAUAGCUGAGCAAACUCAACUGUGUCCAUGUUGAAAAAAUAAAAGAAAUUCCACCAAA